UCUGGACGACAGGUGCUGCAUGGCUGUCGUCAGCUCGUGUCGUGAGAUCGUUGGGUUAAGUCCCGUAACGAGCGCAACCCUUGUCCUUAGUUACCAGCACGUUAUGGUGGGCACUCUAAGGAGACUGCCGGUGACAACCGGAGGAAGGUGGGGAUGACGUCAAGUCAUCAUGGCCCUUACGGCCUGGGCUACACACGUGCUACAAUGGUCGGUACAAAGGGUUGCCAAGCCGCGAGGUGGAGCUAAUCCCAUAAAACCGAUCGUAGUCCGGAUCGCAGUCUGCAACUCGACUGCGUGAAGUCGGAAUCGCUAGUAAUCGUGAAUCAGAAUGUCACGGUGAAUACGUUCCCGGGCCUU
rnacentral:rRNA from 1 species